ensembl:ncRNA Y4C6B.98 ncRNA
UCACAGAUCUGUAAAAAUACAAAAAUAAAUAUAUUGAAAUCAGCAAAAUGCAAAAACGAUAGGUCCCACCGAGAUUUGAACUCGGGUCGCAGGAUUCAGAGUCCUGAGUGCUAACCGCUACACCAUGGAACCGACAAGAAACGUCGAU